rnacentral:tRNA from 2 species
UGGCGGGUGGCGAAAUUGGUAAACGCACUUGAAAAUAGCCUUAAUUCAUACCUUGUCUGAAAAGGCCGAAGAGUUGAGGGUUAUCGGAUCUAGCAACGUAAGUUUUGCGGGUUCAGGUCCCGCCCCGUCAC